GAAAGAAACAGCCCCAUUUUGCAAAUGAGAUCAGCAGAAAUAUCAGUAAAGAGAAUAUAUUCUGCUAGUUUGCUGUGACAAUACUACUGCUCUACACUGCCAUACAUACAUGUAUUUAUUUCUUGAAUGUGUACAUGUUAUCUUUUUAGAGCAGUAGAACUAUGUUGACAUAAGAUGGGCGUGGAAGAGAAAUGAAGCUUUUGUGAUAACCAAAUCUGUAUAAACAGAUGUUAAUUGACUGAGUCUCACAAACAGACCAAUACUAGCUAAUGCCAAAGUGCCAAAUAGGAAAAGGCAAGAACUUCUUUUGGGCUCCCACUCUCGAGUUUCAUUGAGUGGUCACUUCAAUUUUAGUUGGGAUUUAAUCACCGCUACUGAUGUAAUAGUUCAGAAUGUAUGAUUUUUAAAAGAAGAUGGAUCUUCGAAAGAAUUUAAUUGCCUCCUGGUCAUGUUGGAGAGCCUUAGACCAUUGGUGAGACAUCACAGUGAAUAUGCUGUUGAAUUCAGGUCUGAAGGAGAAAAUUGCUGUACUUGAAAAUACACGUUUCCUUACAACCCAGCUGAGACUCUUAUUGAGUUUUAUCUCAUGC
rnacentral:lncRNA from 1 species